rnacentral:lncRNA from 1 species
CUUCUCAUAAUUUUUUGUUUCUAUUCAAAAGUACUAUUUUUCCUAAAAAGUAGUCAAACACCUUAGCUUUGAAAAAAAAUUUAAUCAAAUAAAAGUAUUUUUGGCCAAAACGAAAAUUUGGCUAACAAGCUAUAAGUUCGUAAUGGUUUUUGUCAUUUUAGGAUAGCAGUACCAAAUUCUAAACCCUUGCCCUUCUCCACCCCUUGGCCCCUCCUUUUCUUCUUCUCAGUCUAAGGGUUUGCAUCAGUAACGAGGGUUUUGAGGAAAGAUGAAAUUAAUACGAGGGUCAUGAGGGGCAAAAUAGUUUCUUUUUCUUCAUCAGAAUCGAGGGAUUUGGGGGGCAAGAAAUUUGAUCCUCUGCUUAUAAAUAUGCAUGCUCUCCCAAAGGAAGAAUGAAACAUCCUAUCUGAUUAUGAUCUCUCCCUUUCUCUCCAGUAUCCACCUCCCCUAUUAAUUAUUUCACAGCAAUUUCAAUGCGCUCUCUCUCUCUCUCAACCCUCAUCUCACCAUCUUAAAUAGUGCCCAACUGCCCCUCCUUUCAAUACUCUCAUAUAUAGCCUACUUUCUAGUAUAUGUUUCUUUCAUCUUAAUUAUUACAGAGGGAAAAACUAAAGAUGAUGCAGACUCUAUGAUGAUAUUAUUCAGUUUCAUGGAAGUUUGGCAAAGGGUUUCUUACAAAGUUCAUUGGCAUUCUGUCCACCUCCCUCUUCCUUAGAAAAGAAGGUGACCAAGAAAAAGAAAAAGGACAAAAAAAAAAGAAGGGUUAAUUAACGUGGAGGUGGGCAUACUGCCAACAGAGUUGUGUUGGUUUCUCUUUGUAAAACUCUCGUGAUACAUCAAACAAGAGAGAUCCUCUCUUGUUACACACGUUCUUCAUGUUUUUGUUCUCCCCAAGUUUUUGUUCGCUUAUUCUUCUUUCUUUCAGUUAUUUUCUCUUCAUAAUCAUUCAUCUAAUCCAUAUUUGUUUUUCUUGUUUUAACCCUUGAAGAAUAAAGUUCACUAAUGCGUUUCUAUCUUCAAGGCUAGCUCAAGUUUCUUUUAGGAACAACGGAACAGCAAUCCUCGACUCGACAAUGUUACUUGGAUCGGAGCUAAGAACCCUAAUUUUCAGAAUUUGUUUUUGUAUUUCAUGUUUUAACUUUAUUCGGUCCUUUUUCCCUUUACCUCCUUUGCUAUAAUCUUUUUGAUGCUCUUAUUAGGUAGCUAUAUGGUUAAAGGGAUACAGAAAGAUGCAGCUGAUCUUCCUCCUGUGGUAAGCACUUAGAAAAGGGGCAGGGAUGCGUUUUUGUUUGUUACUAAUUAUCAUAAACCAUUUCUUUGUUUCAUCACUAUUUUAACCAAACUAACAAAGUGUAAAUGCAUUAUAGAGAAUUCUGUAUUUAAAUUUCGUGUACCAGAAGGACGAGGCUCUUAUAUGAUCUAGUAGGUAACCUACUUCAUUUAAUUUUUUCAGAUUACUAAUUUACUUUUUAUCAACAAUUAAUUGUACUUAUUAUUUAGAUAAUAAAUAAUGUAAAAAAUCUUUAACAUGUAAAAAGAAAGAAGUAUUCCGAACAAUUAAAGUCCAAUAUCAACUCAAGUCAAAUGAGACAUCAUAUGACCUGCUCCUCUUUAAUGUUUCAUGUGUACGCUCUAUAAUCUUUUGUGAGCUAGUGUUCGCUUAAUUAGUGCAAUGCUGAUGACACUAUGGGUAGACUCUCGUUUUUGGGAGUGGGAAAAAAGACUUUGCAUUUUCACACUUAAUUGCUGCAGAUGGGUGAUUUCACAUUACAGUACAAGAAGAUGGUAGCGCGAGGGCAGGAAAAUAGGCUCAUGAUUAAUGUCUGACAUUUCCAUUAAAGUAUAAGGGCUAUGUUUUUGGUCUAACUUCUCGUUAAAGCAGACCAAUUAAAUGCAUUCAUUAGUAGUAGUCUUGCUAAUAUAUGGGACGAGUUAUAAGUGCCUACUAACCAACUAGUACGUACCAAACAUUCUUAUGCAUAAUAUGACAAAAGGUUGAAAACAUUGAUCAAUAGUUGAGGACUGGUUGGUAUCUUCAUAUCUUAUUGAUUCUUAGCUAGCUAUAGUAUUUAAUUCUUUCUAGUACUUAAGACUACUGCUGCAUGUCUUUCCAUUUUCUGGAAUGCAUUAUCAGUUGAUAAUUUAUUUAAAGUACAUGUCUAUGUAAAUAUUUUUCACACUACGAGUGCAUAUAACUAAUUAAGUUCAUCUUUUUAGGCAUGUAAUUUCCUUAAAAAAAUCUUCUCAGGUGCUUAAGUGCAGUUACUUUAAGAAAUUCCUACUUAAAAACUUCAUGGAGUACUAACACAUGGAAGCUACUAGUGCUGACUCUGGUAUAUAGUCCCACCGGUAUAUAUUCCGUCUGUUUUUAUUUACUUGUCAUGUUUGCCAAAGCUACUAUUGACUUUGGUAUAUAAUCCCUUCAUUUCGGUUUACAUAUUUAAAACCUCAGGUAAGAUAGAAAAUAAAGCUUAAUGAUCAAUGCUUCCAGUUACUAGAAAGCUUGGGUGCAACAUCGUCUAUUUGAUUUUACCCACAAAAAAAAAAUGGUCUAUUUGGAUUCAUGUCAAAUUCUUUUAGUAUUAUUGCUUUCUUCUAGAUUGGUAAGCAUCCUCCCCUUCCAACCAAGAGGUUGUGAGUUCGAGUCACCCCAAGAGCAAGGUGGGGAGUUCUUGGAGGGAGGGAGCCGAGGGUCUAUCGGAAACAGUCUCUCUACCCCAGGAUAGGAGUAAGGUUUGCGUACACACUACUAUCCCCAGACCUCACUAGUGGGAUUAUACUGGAUUCUUAGUUGUUGUUUUCUUCUAGAUUGGCGAGGAAGCAGGAAAUGGAGCUAUUUGCAUGUUUCAGUAGCUAGAAUUAUUGUGAUGCUGGUGAACUUGCAGGAAUUUAGUUCUGAAACUUAAAAUCAUUUUCGAUUUGAUUCAAGUUCCCCAUAUCAUGACUAUCCACCUGGCCAAAUGAUGUUCAUUCGAAUGUUUUUACUCUGCCCAACAGAUGGUAAUGAUAGCAUGUAUGCUAUGAGUUCAUAGCUUUUGUUCAACCUCGGUAUAUUUUACUCCUUAUUAAGAAAUACGUUAAACUUUAAAUCUGGAUUUAGCCUACUAAGCCAUCUCAAGCCUGAUGGUGUCCUAAGGUUUUAGCCUGCUUUGCCAUAACAAAAUGCUGUAUUUAUUUCCUAGUCUUAUUGCCAGCCCAGAUUUUGCACUCCCUCCCACUUGAUCUUAUUGGUCUUAAAUGAUAUUUUAUGUAAUGACAGAUGCAUAUCAACUUUCGGAAUUUUGGUUUUAAGAAGAUAGGCGUGACAAAUGAACCGGAACAAAGAGUAUAACCCAAAGAUAAUUACAUGUUAGAAUUGCAACAUAUAGAAGCUCAUAACCUAGGCAAACAUAAUUAAAAACAUAUCCUGAACCAGCAAAUUCCUCAAAUGGGACUUGAGACACAUUAUUUGGCUCAUUAGCAGCAGCAGCAGCGAAGUGUUCCUUAGUCUCUCCAGUAAUUUUAUAUGCAAUUACAGUUAAAAUCUUUUCUUGCCUUCUCCGCAUGAAUUUUUUAUAUUUUUAUAAUUUUCUUUCAAAACUGUCACAGCUUUCUUUAGAAAAACCUCAUAUGCUUCUGGUGACACAUCCUUCAUCUCCAUCUCUCGUUCUUUCAAGGAAGCUAGGGUUGGGGUUUGUAUCACUUUCGGAAUAGAAUUAAAAAGAUUGAUUACAUGCAUGUGAGUUAGUUCUUUUGGAUUUCUAUUCUAUACAAGAAACUCGUUUUCUAAUAUUACAAUUUGGUAAAGUAAGAACUAUAAAUAUAAUUAUAAAGUUACGCCAAAUGAAUAUCAAAGACCUUUAGGUAAUUAAGAAAGCACUGGGAUUUAAAAAUUUUAAGGUUUGCAUUCCGGGAGUUUUGUUCUUCUUUUCGCUACGGAAAAAUCCUUAUGGCCUUCUCGUGAGCCCCACUCGAGUUGAGGAAAUUUUUACUUUGUACUUCACACAAAAGGCAGAAAAUUCUUGGACUUGUUAUUAUCAAUACACAAAAAAGUUCAAAAGACAAUCACAAAAGUAUAGGAUUUUGCUCGAAUACUAGAUAAGCAUUACACACCAGAAGGUUGCCUUGUGAACUAAAAGCUAGUACAAGUUUUUACAUAAAAGUUCCUCUGGGCAGACAGAUGUAUGGUGUCUGAACUCUGAACGAAGAGUAAAUGCCCAAGAAAUUCCCCUUGAUUUUCAUGUCAGUUGGAUCCCAAGAUUGAGAAUACAAGUCAAAAAGAUUCACCAAAGAAGGAACCUAGGACUUCUACAUCUCAGUUUAGAGUAAAAUAUGCUAGUAACUAGAAUAGGCCAAUGUUUACCAACAUCACAUUUGGCAAAUGUUAUUUAAGGUCAAUAGUAAUUUAAACUUUAGCAAAAGAAAUGGUCAUUUAGAUUAUUGCACAGGAAGCCCUCUCCAUAGGACUGUACCAUGAGAACUAAGAGAUGAACACUCACAGUGAUGAACUACAAACCAAUAUUAUCAUACAAAACAUUCUCUCCUCGUGAGCGCACCAUGAACACUCACAGUGAUGAACUUAAACGAUCAAGAUCCACAAAUCCAGAAAGCACUGCCCUGUUACGUUCCUUAACCUUCACUUGAUAUAUAACUCUGCACAUUCCAACUGUCUUUUAGUCUACCAAACACCCAAUAAAUAUAUUGAAUCUCGUAGUAAACGAUGUACUAAUUUAACAUACCUCAACCCUGCCAGCCACAUUUCCGUGAUUAAAGUCUCUCCUGGAUAUACAUGUAGUAAAAAUCUGCCAGAUAUGCUCUUGAUCAUGUUCUGUUCACCUCCGCAAAUACAUUUAAUGAUAGCCCUAACUGCAUAUCCAAGCGUGCACAACCCAUGCAGUAUUGGACGAGAAAAUCUAGGCAAAAUACAUCCAAAGAAAUUAGAUUGCACUGACAUAUUGUAAAUGCAUGAAAAGAGAUAAAAACGAUUGUAACUUGAUAUUGUUCAGCUUGAACUAGAAUUACAGAAGCAAAUUCAACUUCAGCAUUGCAGAAGCAAAAUCAAUCCUUCAACUGAUGUCCUGAACAAAAGAGCUAAUUAAGCUUCAAGUAGAACAUAAAACUAACAAAAGAAAACACCUUUUUGGAUCAGGGUAUGGCCUUAAAGUUUACACAGUAUUCCAACCAAGAGCAUUUGUAUAAACUCACUUGUUAAAAAGGAUGAAUAUUAGGAGAUGGACAGUACUAUGGUUGUUGAAAUUAAUGUACAAUUAUGUGUAAGCAUCAUGUCCACGUUCAGAUUUCAAAUUCUUAAUAGUUUUUAGUUUCUGCACUUAUUUUCCGACAUGCAUUUCAGUGGAAGGACUCAUUUUUCAGGGGUAUGUCCCCGAACAGAUGGUGAGGAGGAGUCAGGAGUGCCUUUUUUUUACUCUCUACAGUUGUAAGAAUAAAUAGUUAUUGGUGGAGGGGGUGGGUGUUUAGGGCUAAGACAUUUUAGAACGGCAUUAUCAUGAAUUAGGGCAGUUCGAAACUCCUAAAUCUAUUCCUUUUUUUUCUGUUCACAUAGUCCACAGCUAUAGUGGGUUGCUAUAGUGGUAAACACCCUCCACUUCCAACCAAGAGGUUGUGAGUUCGAGUCACCCCAAGAGCAAGGUGGGGAGUUCUUGGAGGGAGGGAGCCGAGGGUCUAUUGGAAACAGCCUCUCUACCCCAGGGUAGGGGUAAGGUCUGCGUACACACACCCCACUAGUGGGAUUAUACUGGGUUGUUGUUGUAUAGUCCACAGCUAGGCUUGCCGCAUCAGCACUUUAGAUGGGCAAGUCGAAGGGCAAAAAAGCUUACCUCUCUUACAAUUUACCAACUUAAUGAAUAAUGCCAGUUAAGAAAAUUUGUUUAGGUUAGGUAAUAUUUCUUUCUAAAAGUGCGGCAAAAAUAGAAAAACCCGAAAAUUUCCCACAUGUUAUGCUUCACUCAGGAAGCAAUAUCGCUAGUUUGUGAGUUCCCUUUCUAUUUCGUGCAAACAAUGGGAGGUUCACGUCUAAUAUCAUGCAAAUUUAACAAGCAUCACUAACCGGCAAACAUUGGCUACUAAGUAGCUCAAGGAUAACAGAACAUAAAAGUUAUUGGCAAAGAGUACAACAAGUUACUCACAAGAUAUGGUACUAUCAUUAUAUAGAGAGAGUCAAAUUGAGUUGUUU